CCUCAAAGUGCUGGGAUUACAGGCGUGAGCCACCAGACACACUUUCUCUUUAUUUUUUUAAUAGAACGUUUAUAUUCUUUAUGAUAGCUUAAUGGAAGGAGCAUUUGAAAAAGGGUCAGUUAUCGUUAAAGAAAGUGUAUUCUGUCCUCAAGUUGGGAGAGAUCAUGUGUGAGGUAAGCGUUUCAGAAGGUUCCUUAGGGUCAUCACAUUAUACAGGACUCUGUGCCGUGGACACGGAAUUGUAGGGGUUGGGAGGAUCUAUGAGAACUACCAAGGUGAUUGGUGAAAUGUCGGUCAGCCUCCAGACACCUCUGCUGCACCCACUAGGCAGAACUGGGGUAAAAUGCCCAGGUCCUUUGGGCAGAGGAAUUUCAGAAACAAUGUGAGGCAAGAUUUGGAGUUCCCAACUCCCCCAUGCCAGUCCCCAUGUAAGCAAGCAGGACUUUCCCACCCAACAAUAAACGCCUCUCUCUCCCAUCCAAUAAAUAUCACUGAUGUGUUUAUGUCUUGUUAAGCCAUUGGGGCAAAGGAGUAAGCUCCCUGUUAAAGUCAACAAAAGCAAAAAUCAUCCCACAGCUUUUAUCAAACACUAAAACAAUUUUCAAUGUGGAAAAUUUCUUCUUAAUAGGGAAAUGGAAAAUUACAGAUAUAGAAUCAUCCAAUCUUAGAGCUGGAAGGAACCUUGGAGGUCAUCAGUUGAACCUCGAGCCCACUGCUGGAAUUCUUAUUACAACAUCCCUGCUGUCCUCUGCUUGAACGGUCGUAAGCCUGGGCCCUUUCUCAGCACCUCUAAGGAAGUUUUCCACCCAUUGUUGGGUGGUUGUUAGACAGUCAUUCUUAUGUUGAACCAAAAUAGUCCUUCUGGAAACUUCACCCUUCAGGCACAGUUUGAAUCAGUCUAUUUCCUCUCCUCUGUGAGAGCCCUUUGAGUAUUUUAAGGCUGUAAGCCUCAUCCCUUCUGAGUCUUUUGUCCCCAGACCAAGCAUUCUCACUUCCUCCAAAUAUAUAAUAAUCCAUUCUAAAACCUGGCCAAGGACAGGCAUCAAGUCACUGGUGUGUGGUCUUCCUAAUGCUCUUUCCCUCGUCUUGAAAACCAGAUCCACAGCAGGGGCUGGAGCAGCAUACCCAUUCUCGGAGAUUGCCCGAAGGUACAGAUGAAGCUUCUGUGACACCUUUGCAAGUUCAGUGGAUGAGGGAUGCAAGUCGUACACUAACAGAUAAGAGAUGAGACCCACCAUCGGAGCCAGGCUUUGAAGGAACUGACCCUGGUGUGCAUGAGGAAGUACUUCAUGGUGAUGACCCUCGUCACCCCCUCAGGAAAACACAGUGACCUCUCACCCAACACCCCCGUCCCACUCCCAGGUACCCCGGCAAAAGCAGAAGAACCAAGCAAGCCCUUCCACCAAAGCAGCCAUGAACCCCAUUCUCAUCAUCUCCAAGAACUCCCUGCUAUACCAGAUAGGGGUCUGGGGUUCUGUUUUCCAUUUUUUAAAAAAAUCGUUUUCAGACUCUCGAACAGUGUGUUGGUUUACACUAUUCUCUCUUCUUAAACCACCAUAUCAACAGAUUCACUCUGCUUCCUUUCUUUUCAUUUGGCAAAUGCCACACUUUUAAUGGCAGCAAUAAAAGGUGCUUCUAUCAACGCCAGGUGGGCAGCCCGACCAUCUAAAGCCUCAGAGAGGAUUAUACCAAGUCUCUCGUACACCUCCGUGCUAGUGACAACAUGUGGGGACCUCUCAUCCCAAAGUUUUGGGACAAAGUCUCCCGUCCCUUAUCACUUGCUUUCACUGAAGCUAAAUGUAUCUGUUCAGUACAUGGAUAGAUUUUUAAGCUCCUCUCACAAAGUCUUGUGCUUGAGACAAAAUCAGCCCAGGUUCUGCACUUUGUCUACAUUUCAGCAACUCUUCUGCUUGAUAUUAAAAAUAGCCUUGUCUAGUCCAUUGAGAUCAGACCCAGGAGACAGGCGCCUGCUAUUCUAAUCUCUGCUUCACAAAUAGCUCUCUAUGGGCUCAAGCAUCUAUCAACACUUCCAGGGGUCUCCAGUUAUAAAACAGGGCCAGGCCUAGUCACCUAUAAAGGUAGACUCUGCUUAACUCUCCUGAGCUGUCCAUGAGGUUAGCAUGAGGCCUACAACAAUCACAUUUCCACCGUGGACCAGAGACCUCCAAUGGUGACUCAAAACUGAGAAGCAGUUAAGAGCACCCCCCACACUCAGGGGAUCCUGUGCAUUUCCCAGGCCAGAACCUACAAAAGGUUCCCUUGAGACUCAAACUCAAACAUCACUGGUAAACAGGCUGCCCCUCCCCCCUUCCUCCCUCCUCCUGCAAACCUCCCCCAUCCCUCACUUUCACCUCCCUUCCUCCCCAACCCAUCUUGUACUCUGUGAAAAACUGUAGUUCCCUCAGUUGCCAAGGGAACCAAGCCUUUUAUUCCAUCCGUGACUAGCUGGUUGGGCUGAGGAGUGGGGCAACAACUGGUACCCAGGCCUUUGGAAGUCCAAGCCCUCCCUUUUUCCCAAAGGGGGAGGGGUGGGCUGCACCCCCAUUGCCUUUUCACCCAAACCCAGCUGGGUGGGACCGAGCCCUUGGGCUCUCAGGAGCUCCCUGGCUGUGGGCUCGGGAGAUCAGUGCUCCCCAGGCCCUCCUCUGGCCCUGGCCCUUUCCAGAGGACAAUAGCCUUCAUGCAAGGGAAAAUUCCAUCGCCCAGGGUUCAAGUCUCCAAGGAGUUGCUGGGGCCUCUGUUUAGCCUGGAGUGGGCUCUGAGGAGCCGCUGCAGCUGCCCGGCUUGUUUUCCCCCUCGCUGUGUUUUAUUUUUAACCCCUGAGCUGCCAAGGAUUGUUUUUCCCCAACCAGUGCCUGGGAACUAAGGGAGGGAAGAAAUAAGGCUUUGUUCCCUUUGGGGAACUAAUUGGGAAAGACAGGCAGUGUGGCCGGCUUGGCUCUAUUAGGGUGUGAGGCUCCCACCCCUCACUGCACAACAUCUUCACCCUAACCCAUGCCCAGGAGGCUGGGAGUGCAGAGGUGCUCCCCAGGCUGCAAUCAGAGGCCCAGGGGCUGAUGGGAACCCAAGUGCAGCUUCAAAACUGCAAAGGCAGCUCCGAGCCAUUUUCUAGGGCUCCGAAGAUACUUGGGAAAUAAGAUGUUGGGAGCUGGAAAUGUCUACUUUUUCCCAUUUCAACCCCCCAAACUAACCGCUGCUUUUCUCUUGCUGCUGCUGCUGCUGCUGCUGCUAGUGGUGGUGGCUGCUGCUGCUGUUGUUGUUAUUGUUGUUUUCCAGACCUGCAUAAGGAACUCUGGAAGAAAAGUGAGGGAACUCAAAAAAAUAAGAAAACUGAAACAAGGUCGCAAACCACAUGAUCUACAGGGGAGCCACCACUGCCUCCUGAAGAACCCCAGUCAGGAAUCCCAGAUUAAUUUCCCCAGCAUCCUGUUUGGAAACCACAUGUCCACCCUGCAACUGUACCUGGCUUGUGUCCCACAAGGAGAAAGAUGCAGGGGCCUCCAGAAGCUAAAGAGCCACCAGGUUUCCAGGUCCCUCAGGCCCCUGCACAUCCUCAGCUCUCUGAAGAACAGUGACUGGUGUGACGACAGGGCCCCUUCACAGAGCGAACCUGACAAAGAACUACUCACCGCACACACCAGCCUUAGAAUGCACAUGUCAGUGUUUUGGGAAAUACGUGCUGUUUUGAAAUGUGUCUGGGCCAUGAGUAAGUUUGGGGGGAGACGGGAUAGGAGCUUUUCUUCCAGUUAACGAAGUGAGGCUUCAUGGAGGAAGAAGAUUUUCUUAGUCACAUUUCCUGUUUCACACUGACCUUUUAAAAGGAAACCCACAACUGAACCUGUGCUAGGGCCUGCUUACAAAACCUACCCACAGGUAUAAUAAAGAUGAUCUAAAUAAAGCCAAGCUUAACCUGAAUCAGUGGAAAUAAUAAGAUCACCAAGAAGGGCUGAUGGCCUGAGAUAAGGGACAUGGUGGUGCUCCGUAAACUGCAAAUAGAAGUGACACGUGAGAGAUUUAAUGAUUAUUAAACAGGAAUCUAAGCAGAGAGGCAGAGAUAAACCAUGCAAUCUUUUCAUCAGUCUCUAUGUACUCAGGGCUUAGCCGCUUGUUAUAAAAUGGAGACUCUGAAAACUUAGGAGAGAUGGAUGCAGUGAUUUCAAAAGAAGUUGUGUUGAUUGGGUUAUAAAAUUAAUUAUGGGAAUUAAGAUUUCUUAUCUGCAGAGGGAAAAACCAACAGAUAACUGAAGAACUUAAAGUUGGUAAGGGGCCAGGCUUGGUAGCUCAUGCCUAUAAUCCCAACACCUCAGGAGCCUGAAACAAGAGGACUGCU